rnacentral:rRNA from 1 species
GUGUCAGCCGCCGCGGUAAUACGGAGGAUGCGAGCGUUAUCCGGAUUUAUUGGGUUUAAAGGGUGCGUAGGCGGAGCUUUAAGCGUGAGGUGAAAUGCCCGGGCUCAACCUGGGGACUGCCUCGCGAACUGGAGUUCUGGAAUGCCCCUGCCGUGGGAGGAAUGUGUGGUGUAGCGGUGAAAUGCAUAGAGAUCACACAGAACACCGAUUGCGAAGGCAUCUCACGAAGGGGUGAUUGACGCUGAGGCACGAAAGCGUGGGGAUCAAACAGGAUUAGAAACCCCCGUAGUCC